rnacentral:rRNA from 1 species
GAUGAACGCUGGCGGCGUGCCUAGUACAUGCAAGUCGAGCGAACGGACGAGGAGCUUGCUCCUCUGACGUUAGCGGCGGACGGGUGAGUAACACGUGGAUAACCUACCUAUAAGACUGGGAUAACUUCGGGAAACCGGAGCUAAUACCGGAUAAUAUAUUGAACCGCAUGGUUCAAUAGUGAAAGACGGUUUUGCUGUCACUUAUAGAUGGAUCCGCGCCGCAUUAGCUAGUUGGUAAGGUAACGGCUUACCAAGGCAACGAUGCGUAGCCGACCUGAGAGGGUGAUCGGCCACACUGGAACUGAGACACGGUCCAGACUCCUACGGGAGGCAGCAGUAGGGAAUCUUCCGCAAUGGGCGAAAGCCUGACGGAGCAACGCCGCGUGAGUGAUGAAGGUCUUCGGAUCGUAAAACUCUGUUAUUAGGGAAGAACAAAUGUGUAAGUAACUAUGCACGUCUUGACGGUACCUAAUCAGAAAGCCACGGCUAACUACGUG